UACAGAGGGUGCUAGCGUUGUUCGGAAUUACUGGGCGUAAAGGGCUCGUAGGCGGCCAACUAAGUCAGACGUGAAAUCCCCAGGCUUAACCUGGGAACUGCGUCUGAUACUGGAUGGCUUGAAUUCGGGAGAGGGAUGCAGAAUUCCAGGUGUAGCGGUGAAAUGCGUAGAUAUCUGGAGGAAUGCCGGUGGCGAAGGCGGCAUCCUGGACCGAGAUUGACGCUGAUGAGCGAAAGCUAGGGGAGCAAACGGG
rnacentral:rRNA from 1 species